UCAGCAGUCAAGAAUAUUAGUCAAUGCUCGUAAGAGUGAACUAGCUAACUGAAAUCAUAAAUUUCAUUUUAUUAAUGGAAAAUGAUAAGAUAAGUGAGAAUAAUGAUAUGAUCUUAUUAAAAGUGGAGUCCAAUACUGGUGCCAGAAGACUCGGCUAUACCAGAUUCGCGAACGUUAAUCAUAAUGAACAGGCGUAAAGGGUGGGCAGGCUUCCUAGAAAAAUUAUAAUACAAAGCUCUUAGAAUAUAUUAUUUAAGUUAUAAUUAUAUAGUUUUAUAAUUUAAUAGAUAUAAUUUUAAAUGAAAAAUAAUUUGCAUAUAGGAUAGAAUCAAAUAGAGGAUAAGACAAAUAAUUUUAAGAUAGGAGUGAUUACCUUUCAACUUAUUUUAAAUACUUAUGGUGUAGACUUUUUUUCCAUUAAUGAUUGACGCUCAGCCACGAAGGUGAAAACAGAAAACAGGAUUAGAUACCCAAUUAUCUUUCACAGUAAACGAUGAAUGGCAAAAGUUAGUUAUAAACUAGUUUUUAAGUUAACGCAUUAACCAUUCCGCCUUGAUAGUACAGUUGCAAAACUGAAACCAAAAAAAAUAGUCGGUCUCGAAGCAAACGGAGUGAAGUAUGUUAUUUAUUCCGAUAAUCCGCA
rnacentral:rRNA from 1 species